rnacentral:rRNA from 1 species
UACGAAGGGGGCUAGCGUUGUUCGGAAUUACUGGGCGUAAAGGGCGCGUAGGCGGCUUGGCAAGUUGGGUGUGAAAGCCCAGGGCUCAACCCUGGAAUUGCACUCAAGACUGCUUUGCUUGAAUUCGGUAGAGGUUGGUGGAAUUCCCAGUGUAGAGGUGAAAUUCGUAGAUAUCGGGAGGAACACCAGUGGCGAAGGCGGUUGCCUGGAGCUUUGCUGACGCUGAUGCGCGAAAGCUAGGGGAGCAAACAGG